UACGUAGGGGGCAAGCGUUGUCCGGAUUUAUUGGGCGUAAAGAGCGUGUAGGCGGCCAGAUAGGUCAGCUGUGAAAACUCGAGGCUCAACCUCGAGACGUCGGUUGAAACCGUAUGGCUAGAGUCCGGAAGAGGAGAGUGGAAUUCCCGGUGUAGCGGUGAAAUGCGCAGAUAUCGGGAAGAACACCCGUGGCGAAGGCGGCUCUCUGGGACGGUACUGACGCUGAGGAGCGAAAGCGUGGGGAGCGAACAGG
rnacentral:rRNA from 1 species